GGCAACGGCCAUACCACGCUGAUAUACCGGUUCUCGUCCGAUCACCGAAGUCAAGCAGCGUCGGGCGUGGUUAGUACUUGGAUGGGUGACCGCUUGGGAACACCACGUGCUGCUGUUGUCU
rnacentral:rRNA from 1 species